rnacentral:rRNA from 1 species
AGAGCGAACGCUGGCGGCAGGCCUAACACAUGCAAGUCGAGCGGAUGUAGCAAUACAUCAGCGGCAGACGGGAGAGUAACACGUGGGAACGUGCCCUUUGGUUCGGAAUAACGCAGGGAAACUUGCGCUAAUACCGAAUAAGCCCUUACGGGGAAAGAUUUAUCGCCAUUGGAGCGGCCCGCGUCUGAUUAGCUAGUUGGUGAGGUAACGGCUCACCAAGGCGACGAUCAGUAGCUGGUCUGAGAGGAUGAUCAGCCUCACUGGGACUGAGACACGGCCCAGACUCCUACGGGAGGCAGCAGUGGGGAAUAUUGGACAAUGGGCGCAAGCCUGAUCCAGCCAUGCCGCGUGGAUGAUGAAGGCCUUAGGGUUGUAAACCCCUUUCAGCAGGGACGAAGCGAAAGUGACGGUACCUGCAGAAGAGCGCCGGCUAACUCGCGCCAGCAGCCGC